rnacentral:tRNA from 1 species
GGGAAGGUGGCUUAGUGGUAGAGCGCUUGCCUUGCAUGCAUGAGG